AUCUUUGCGCUUGGGGCAAUGACGCAGCUGGGGAGGUGAAAACCGAAGCGCGUCAAUUGCUGGUUGAAAACUAUUUCCAAACCCCCUCUUUGGCCCUGGGCUCGCCCCGGUUGCCACUGAGAAUUUCUGGAAGGGCCCCCUCUAACCAGGGUAAAGGCC
rnacentral:snRNA from 1 species